rnacentral:rRNA from 2 species
AGAGUUUGAUCCUGGCUCAGAACGAACGCUGGCGGCAGGCUUAACACAUGCAAGUCGAACGCAUCCUUUGGGGUGAGUGGCAGACGGGUGAGUAACGCGUGGGAACGUGCCCUUCAGUUCGGAAUAACCCAGGGAAACUUGGGCUAAUACCGGAUACGUGCGAGAGCAGAAAGAUUUAUCGCUGAAGGAUCGGCCCGCGUCUGAUUAGCUAGUUGGUGAGGUAAUGGCUCACCAAGGCGACGAUCAGUAGCUGGUCUGAGAGGAUGAUCAGCCACACUGGGACUGAGACACGGCCCAGACUCCUACGGGAGGCAGCAGCAAGGAAUUUUUGGCAAUGGGCGCAAGCCUGACCAAGCAACGCCGCGUGCGGGAUGACGGCCUUCGGGUUGUAAACCGCUUUUAUGGGGGAAGAAUCAGACGGUACCCCAUGAAUCAGCCCCGGCUAACUCUGUGCCAGCAGCCGCGGUAAUACAGAGGGGGCAAGCGUUGUCCGGAUUGACUGGGCGUAAAGCGUAUGUAGGUGGUCGCGCAGGUGGGGUGUUACAUCUCCAGGCUUAACCUGGAGCCGCCGCUCCAAACCGUGUGACUCGAGCCGUGCAGAGGUUGGUGGAAUUGCCGGUGUAGUGGUGAAAUGCGUAGAGAUCGGCAGGAACACCGAAAGCGAAAGCAGCCAACUGGGCACGUGCUGACACUGAGGUACGACAGCGUGGGGAGCGAACAGGAUUAGAUACCCCAGUAGUCC